CACGUAGGGCGCAAGCGUUGUCCGGAAUUAUUGGGCGUAAAGAGCUCGUAGGCGGUCUGUUGCGUCUGCUGUGAAAACUCGGGGCUUAACCCCGAGCCUGCAGUGGAUACGGGCAGACUAGAGGUAGGUAGGGGAGACUGGAAUUCCUGGUGUAGCGGUGAAAUGCGCAGAUAUCAGGAGGAACACCGGUGGCGAAGGCGGGUCUCUGGGCCGAUACUGACGCUGAGGAGCGAAAGCGUGGGGAGCGAACAGG
rnacentral:rRNA from 1 species